CAUAUUUAAUAACUUGCUGUUAGUAAUGACCAAGCUGUUAAAUGUGUACUAUCAUACAUGUGCUGAGGGGUUCAUUGUGCUUUCUUACAAACCUAAACCAGCUCAAUAGAAUUUAGAUCAAGACAUCAUCUAUAAAUCAUUAAUGCAGAUUAUUCUGUGCACCUACACAUGACUCCUAACAGAUUCAAGAAGUGUUUAAAUUGUGCAACACACGGCUCCUUUUAAGAAAUAUCAAGCAGUCUUACAUUGUCACUUACACUGACAUUGUCAACAGGGCAAACAUAAAAAGAACGUUAGUAAUAGUUCUGAGAAUCAUGCUUGUGGUGACAUCCUGCAAAGAAAGCUUAAACUGCAGAAGCGCUAACCUGCCAUAAACCAUAACUGAAAUUAACCUUUCUCUACCCGAGGUACUGAAUCUUAGUCUCAAACCACACUGAAUAGCAAAAACAGAUUUUCCUGAAAUCUAUCUAUCUAUAUAUCUAUACAAACCUAAGAGUAUCACAAUACCUUUUCAUUUUUCAGGUCUGUCUCUUCUCCUCCACCCCCCCCAAGGGAGGUAGUCAUGCACCAAAUCCCCCAGACUGCAUCUUUCCUCCCCCUGCUGUGCCACAAUAUAUUAUCCUGUGCAGUAGUGCCACCACAGUGCAUGGGUUGGGCGCUCGACGUUAAAACCCUAACUUUGCACUUUAAUAACUUGGUGUGGUUUGUCAUAAUUGCCCACAGAUUUGCAUGUUCCAUUGACUUCAAUGUUGUGAAAGCGUGGGGAGUUUCAUGAUGCCACCUUGUGCAGUUUUAAGAUCUGGAUACCUUUUUUUUCCUCUAUACUUAACGUUUUUUUUUGUUUUGUUUUUUGCUGUCAGGUACAGGCUACAGCUGCUGAAUCUGCACCAAGCUGAGUAAUGUACGGUCUGUGCUGAGCUCUCUGCCACUGCCACACAACAGCAACGAUGCUGGCUCCAGGGAUCAACCACAGUGCAGCCUCCCUAGCACCUCAGCAUGGCAACCAUCUGGAAUGGACUGGGUGAAGGACUUCACAGGGAUUGUCAGCUGGGCACUCCGGUCUGGAAUGGACUGGGUGAGGAACUUCACAGGGGUCAUCAGGCUUUGAACAGAUGACACAUUGGUGCAUCACCUCUGACUGUACACACACAUCUAUGGGAGCAAGAUAUAUGUGAACCACACAGUCAUACUGGGGUCCAGAAUAAUACAUCCAUUAUGGCUGACAACAAUAGAUCACAAUUCAGCAGAAGUACAUCCACGUAUGGCUCAGAACAUUGCAAAGAUUGUCAAAGCCUGGGGCUCGAGUCACGAGUGGGGUUUUGGUUUGGAGUUGUUGAUAAUGAUUCAGUUUAUUUUUUGCCAUAUGAAACGUGCCACGAGGCGCCAAAGAUGAGAACGCUGUAUUACUCAAGGAGUAAGGUCGGCAUUAAUGAUUUAAAAGAGGAUACCUCAAGGCACGUACUGGUGACCUCUGCCUUGAGGUACAGAAGACAGAGAACAAGAAAAAGGAAGAAGGUAUGGCCCUAUGACUUGUACAGCCAAUUUGCUUUUCUGGCUCACUGCACAUGCGCACAAGACUAAGAACAGAGGAUGGAAAGAUACCAGCAAUUGACUUGUACAAUGACUUGUACAAAGAGUGCAAGAACAAUGGAAGGUUACAAAGUGUGGAAUGUGUGCAAAACUGUUCUGGUUAAAUAAAAGAUACAUAGAUGAAAAUGCCAGCACUGAGUGAUGCAACCCCUGUGGAGAAUGUUCAAGGUUACUUAUGCAAACUGUUAAUAUGCUAAUAGUGUUAUUGCAAAUUUACUAACAUAGCUGCAUACAAAAUGCUAUAUAUAUUUGUUACUGAUAAAGACAUAUAGGGGCAAGUGCUGGUAACCUCUGCUUCAUGUCGUGGACCAUCUCUGUUUUCAGCUAUUCGAAGGUCCAAAGGAGCGACUGAAGAGGCAGCCAAUACCCAGGUCGGCACUUGCAGGGUUAAGGAGGAUCACAUGAUGUUUCCAAGGCAGGACAGUCUAGUGCAAGAUCACUGUUUUGCCUUUCAUAGCCCGCUUUGCUUGUCGUAUAUUGUUUUGCUACUGUUUUGUUUUUGCUACUGUUAUGCUUUUCACACAAAAUGUUCUAGUGCAGAGUGACUAUUUUGCUUUUGAUGCAGCUGUGCUUGAAAAAUGUUAGGGAAAGAAUGUGUUCAAGAUCGCUGUAUUUGUGUGAGAGAGUUAAACUGUUUUCCUGCGCUUUGAGCAAAAACAACUCCUUAUAGGAAGGACUUCGAGACUGUUCCAUAAUAUUGUUGACAAAUUAAUCUGCUCAAUGUUGCUAUGCUAAACUUCUGUAAGUACUGUGCCACCUUGUCUUAAAACUAAGAGAGAGUGUUUGUUUUACUGCUGCGGUGUGUUCCUGUAGCUGCUUCUCUUCCCUUACGUGCACUGUAAUAAACUUCUUGAACUGAGUCAUCAGUCACUUCAUACAACAGGAGAUUUUCCCCCUAUUGCACUGUGUAUAAUAUAUACUGUGCAAAAUUACUAUAAGCAGGGCUCUUCAUUUUUGAUUUUCAUUUCUGAUGACGUAAUGUCCCUUUGACUUUGUUUUUCACCGACAUUGUUUCUUAAACUCUUGUUGAAGUGUUGAUUGUAAAACAAGAUUGCUUUUGUUGUUGUUUUCUUCCUGUAACCUGAAUGACACACACUCUGUUUGAUUCACUCAUAAUCAGAGAUUCACAAAACACAAUUAAAAGAAAACUUGCAUAACUUUGCACAAGCCACUAGGAUUUCAAAAUUGGAAUUAAAACAAUUUAACUUUGCUGGCUUUUUGGUUUCAGGUUGAUUUAAAAAAAAAAAAAAAAAAAAAAAAAAAAAGUUGUUAGCAAGCAUUGUUAGCUACGAAAUGAAACGAGAGUUUUAGUCAACUUACAGGGGAGAAAAAACCUAACAAAAGCAAUGUUUUACAAUCAACACUUCUAUAAGAGUUUAAUUAAGACAUCGAAACAGAAUUAAGGGACAUUAUGCCAUCAAAAAUAAAAAACGAAAACAAAAAGUCCUAACUAUAGCAAUGGAACCACAAUAACCACUAAGAGUGUAAUGAAAGAAAGAUAAUGCAGAAAGGUGAUUUUUUUUUUUAAUCGUUUGUGCUAUUUUAAACUGAACAAUAAUGAAAAUAAGUACACAAUAUUUUUAAGGCUUGUGGCCAGACAGCAGUUGUCUUUAUGUGCAAUCAUUUCACAUGUGCAAACCAAUAUCUGUGCAUGCGUGCAAGCAAAAUUCACAGUGCUACAUAUACAGUAUAUACUUAACUGUACAGUUAUUUACACAUUUUACUGCACUUUUCAACAAAUAUCUACUAAAAACAAAGGAACUAUUUACAGUAACCAUUAAGAACAGCAAAGUUAUUAUGAAUGAUAAUGCAUUUUUUUUUUGUCAAAUGAUUACAAUGCAGAGAAAGCAGCACCAAUAUCAAACAAAAGAUGCAAUCAAGACUAUUAUACACCACUAGAAUAACUACAGAUUAGAACUUUGUAAGAAAUCCUUAGUUUAUUAUUAUUUAAGUAAGAUAUAAACCAUGAUGGGCUGUGUGGUUCCCAUGUCUGGGGUGGUGAUAACGCCCGAAGCGUCAGCCAGGGGCCUUUAACCACC